rnacentral:rRNA from 1 species
GUCGGACGGGCCGCAAGGCCAGUGGCGCAAGGGUGAGUAAGGCGACGGUAACCAACCCCGGAGACGGGCAUAGCCGGGGGAAACCCCGGGUAAUUCCCGGCGACGUGGCGGCCCGGCAUCGGGCGGCCACCAAAGAUUCAUCGCUCCGGGACGGGCCGUCGUGGUAUUAGCUUGUUGGCGGGGUGACGGCCCACCAAGGCUGCGAUGCCUACCGGGCGUGCGAGCGUGGCCCGGCACACUGGGACUGAGACACUGCCCAGACUCCUACGGGAGGCUGCAUCGAGAUCUUCGGCAAUGGGCGCAAGCCUGACCGAGCGACGCCGCGUGGAGGAUGAAGGCCUUCGGGUUGUAAACCCCUGUCGAGGGGGAGGAAGCUUCGGUUGACCG